rnacentral:rRNA from 1 species
AUACGAAGGUACUUAUAGAAAGCUAUAUGCGCGUAGGGGAGAGUAUUUGCGUCCUAUUAGCUAGUUGGUGAGGUAAUGGCUCACCAAGGCGACGAUAGGUAGCCGGCCUGAGNGGGUGAACGGCCACAAGGGGACUGAGACACGGCCCUUACUCCUACGGGGAGGCAGCAGUGGGGAAUAUUGGACAAUGGACCAAAAGUCUGAUCCAGCAAUUCUGUGUGCUUGAUGAAGGCCUUCGGGUUGUAAAGAGCUUUAAGUAGGGAAGAAGAAAGUGACGGUACCUACAGAAUAAGCGACGGCUAAAUACGUG